rnacentral:rRNA from 1 species
UACGAGGGGGUGCAAGCGUUGCUCGGAAUUAUUGGGCGUAAAGGGUAGGUAGGUGGUCUCAUUUGUCUGGGGUGAAAGCCUUGAGCUUAACUCAAGAAGUGCCCUAGAAACGGUGAGACUGGAGUCUUGGAGAGGGUCGUGGAAUUCCCGGUGUAGCGGUGAAAUGCGUAGAGAUCGGGAGGAACACCAGAGGCGAAGGCGGCGACCUGGACAAGUACUGACACUCAACUACGAAAGCGUGGGUAGCAAACAGG